rnacentral:rRNA from 1 species
GACGAACGCUGGCGGCAUGCCUUACACAUGCAAGUCGAACGGCAGCACGGGAGCAAUCCUGGUGGCGAGUGGCGAACGGGUGAGUAAUGUAUCGGAACGUGCCCAGUCGUGGGGGAUAACGUAGCGAAAGCUACGCUAAUACCGUAUACGAUCUAUGGAUGAAAGCGGGGGACCGUAAGGCCUCGCGCGAUUGGAGCGGCCGAUAUCAGAUUAGGUAGUUGGCGGGGUAAAGGCCUACCAAGCCGACGAUCUGUAGCUGGUCUGAGAGGACGACCAGCCACACUGGGACAGAGACACGGCCCAGACUCCUACGGGAGGCAGCAGUGGGGAAUUUUGGACAAUGGGCGCAAGCCUGAUCCAGCAAUGCCGCGUGCAGGAUGAAGGCCUUCGGGUUGUAAACUGCUUUUGUACGGAGCGAAAAGGCUCUCUCUAAUACAGGGGGCUCAUGACGGUACCGUAAGAAUAAGCACCGGCUAACUACGUGCCAGCAGCCGCAGUAA